UACGAAGGGGGCUAGCGUUGCUCGGAAUCACUGGGCGUAAAGGGUGCGUAGGCGGGUCUUUAAGUCAGGGGUGAAAUCCUGGAGCUCAACUCCAGAACUGCCUUUGAUACUGAGGAUCUUGAGUUCGGGAGAGGUGAGUGGAACCGCGAGUGUAGAGGUGAAAUUCGUAGAUAUUCGCAAGAACACCAGUGGCGAAGGCGGCUCACUGGCCCGAUACUGACGCUGAGGCACGAAAGCGUGGGGAGCAAACAGG
rnacentral:rRNA from 1 species